GAGGGUAUAGCUCAAGUGGUAGAGCGCAUGCUUAGCAUGCACAAGGUCCUGGGUUCAAUCCCCAAUACAGUCU
rnacentral:tRNA from 1 species